rnacentral:rRNA from 1 species
GAUGAACGCUAGCGACAGGCUUAACACAUGCAAGUCGAGGGGCAACGGGACGUAGCAAUACGUUGCCGGCGACCGGCGGAUGGGUGAGUAACGCGUAUGCAACCUACCCACGACAGGGGGAUAGCCCGUUGAAAGACGGAUUAAUACCCCAUAAAACAGGGGUUCCGCAUGGGACUAUUUGUUAAAGGGUUCUCCGCGAGGGGGACAUCGGUUGUGGAUGGGCAUGCGUUCCAUUAGGCAGUUGGUGAGGUAACGGCUCACCAAACCGACGAUGGAUAGGGGAACCGAGAGGUUGGUUCCCCCACACUGGUACUGAGAUACGGACCAGACUCCUACGGGAGGCAGCAGUGAGGAAUUUUGGUCAAUGGACGGAAGUCUGAACCAGCCAAGUCGCGUGAAGGAAGGCGGCCCUAAGGGUUGUAAACUUCUUUUGUAAGGGAAUAAAGUGCGUUACGUGUAGUGCAUUGCAAGUACCUUACGAAUAAGGAUCGGCUAACUCCGUG